UACGAAGGGGGCUAGCGUUGUUCGGAAUUACUGGGCGUAAAGCGCACGUAGGCGGCUUUGUACGUUAGAGGUGAAAGCCCGGGGCUCAACUCCGGAAUUGCCUUUAAGACUGCAUCGCUAGAAUUGUGGAGAGGUAAGUGGAAUUCCGAGUGUAGAGGUGAAAUUCGUAGAUAUUCGGAAGAACACCAGUGGCGAAGGCGACUUACUGGACACAUAUUGACGCUGAGGUGCGAAAGCGUGGGGAGCAAACAGG
rnacentral:rRNA from 1 species